CAGGCUUAACACAUGCAAGUCGAGGGGCAGCAUGGUCUUAGCUUGCUAAGGCCGAUGGCGACCGGCGCACGGGUGAGUAACACGUAUCCAACCUGCCGUCUACUCUUGGACAGCCUUCUGAAAGGAAGAUUAAUACAAGAUGGCAUCAUGAGUCCGCAUGUUCACAUGAUUAAAGGUAUUCCGGUAGACGAUGGGGAUGCGUUCCAUUAGAUAGUAGGCGGGGUAACGGCCCACCUAGUCUUCGAUGGAUAGGGGUUCUGAGAGGAAGGUCCCCCACAUUGGAACUGAGACACGGUCCAAACUCCUACGGGAGGCAGCAGUGAGGAAUAUUGGUCAAUGGGCGAGAGCCUGAACCAGCCAAGUAGCGUGAAGGAUGACUGCCUUAUGGGUUGUAAACUUCUUUUAUAAAGGAAUAAAGUCGGGUAUGGAUACCCGUUUGCAUGUACUUUAUGAAUAAGGAUCGGCUAACUCCGUGCCAGCAGCCGCGGUAAUACGGAGGAUUCGAGCGUUAUCCGGAUUUAUUGGGUUUAAAGGGAGCGUAGAUGGAUGUUUAAGUCAGUUGUGAAAGUUUGCGGCUCAACCGUAAAAUUGCAGUUGAUACUGGAUAUCUUGAGUGCAGUUGAGGCAGGCGGAAUUCGUGGUGUAGCGGUGAAAUGCUUAGAUAUCACGAAGAACUCCGAUUGCGAAGGCAGCCUGCUAAGCUGCAACUGACAUUGAGGCUCGAAAGUGUGGGUAUCAAACAGGAUUAGAUACCCUGGUAGUCCACACGGUAAACGAUGAAUACUCGCUGUUUGCGAUAUACGGCAAGCGGCCAAGCGAAAGCGUUAAGUAUUCCACCUGGGGAGUACGCCGGCAACGGUGAAACUCAAAGGAAUUGACGGGGGCCCGCACAAGCGGAGGAACAUGUGGUUUAAUUCGAUGAUACGCGAGGAACCUUACCCGGGCUUAAAUUGCAGAUGAAUUACGGUGAAAGCCGUAAGCCGCAAGGCAUCUGUGAAGGUGCUGCAUGGUUGUCGUCAGCUCGUGCCGUGAGGUGUCGGCUUAAGUGCCAUAACGAGCGCAACCCUUGUUGUCAGUUACUAACAGGUUCUGCUGAGGACUCUGACAAGACUGCCAUCGUAAGAUGUGAGGAAGGUGGGGAUGACGUCAAAUCAGCACGGCCCUUACGUCCGGGGCUACACACGUAUUACAAUGGGGGGUACAGAGGGCCGCUACCACGCGAGUGGAUGCCAAUCCCAAAAACCUCUCUCAGUUCGGACUGGAGUCUGCAACCCGACUCCACGAAGCUGGAUUCGCUAGUAAUCGCGCAUCAGCCACGGCGCGGUGAAUACGUUCCCGGGCCUUGUACACACCGCCCGUCAAGCCAUGGGAGCCGGGGGUACCUGAAGUGCGUAACCGCGAGGAGCGCCCUAGGGUAAAACUGGUGACU
rnacentral:rRNA from 1 species